CAGGGAGUGCCUUUCGGGAACUCGGAGACAGGUGCUGCAUGGCUGUCGUCAGCUCGUGUCGUGAGAUGUUGGGUUAAGUCCCGCAACGAGCGCAACCCUUGUCUUAAUUGCCAGCAUUCAGUUGGGCACUUUAAAGAGACUGCCGGUGUUAAGCCGGAGGAAGGUGGGGAUGACGUCAAGUCCUCAUGGCCUUUAUGCCCAGGGCUACACACGUGCUACAAUGGGUGGUACAAAGAGAUGCCAACUCGCGAGAGCGCGCCAAUCUCAGAAAGCCAUCCUCAGUUCGGAUUGGAGUCUGCAACUCGACUCCAUGAAGUUGGAAUCGCUAGUAAUCGCGGAUCAGCACGCCGCGGUGAAUACGUUCCCGGGCCUU
rnacentral:rRNA from 1 species